GAAGCACUCAGAAAUGCUGGCUCUUACUUAAAAUGUAGUGUCCUGGGCAGGUAAUACAUUUCAGCUUCACAUGCAGCCUAUAGCAAAAGCACAGCUAGGUGUCCUGCGAGUGUUCGAGAUUAGAAAAUGGAGUUGGUGGGAGAAUUAUCUUUCCUUCUAUGGAAGUUUACGUUCCACACUUGAAACUAUGGGCAAAUGGAAUGAUAAACACGAGUGUGUGGGGAAAUGGUGAGAUCUUCCCCUGGGAUGUCAAUGUUUUAGAUUAAAUGAUAACUUCAUAACUAAGAGGGUUACAGUUUUGAAAAUUCUUGGCUAAAAGAGUCAACCCUCUUUCCCCCUAAAUUAUGGUUGUAUUAAAUGAAUCCAGUAUUGGGCAUCCAGUACAUCUUUAAAUGGGUUGAGAAGAAGAUGUUGGGGUAGUAUUUUCUCUGUGGUCAGCUCCCUCUCUUGGGUCCCUGCCUGUUUUGACUUUACAACGCUUCCUGGUAACUUCCUACGAGGAUCAACCCCUUUGCAGUUAGAAAUGGAAAACGGCAUUCUGAGACUCAGAAGAGAAUUUUCUUAGGAACAUAUUAAACAAAGUGGGGUGAGGUCCCCAGUCAAGCUCAUGGGAGAUAUUAGUGCAAAUGAACCUAACCACCAGCUAUAUCUGGGCCCCUCACCAGCCAGGCACGGGGAAAGGGGAUUUCCCUUGCUCCAAGUGGCCCCAGUGGCUUGAGAACCAUGGGGAGAUAGGGAAGCAGGGUAUCCCACAGGGAAAUCCCUGAGGAUACUUUGUAUUACAGACCGGUUCCUUCCCACCUCUCUUCUCGGCUUUCUCUUUCUCCUCUUGAUGCAUACUGUUUCUUCCAGCCAGGGUUUCUCUCCUGCUGUGGGUACUACAGUUACUUAGAUAGAAAGAAAGAGCAGUGACAGGGAGAUGUGUUCCCCCCACUUCUCUCCCCAGCUCUGAGUGUUAAGCUAAAAAAUAUGAGUACAUGAUCAAUGCGGUCAGCUCCAGGCAUAAACUGCUUUGAAAGACCCAAGCCCCCGACAGGAAUGUAGCGUAACUAGUGUUAUCAGAGAAGCGAGAUAUCACCUGAAGGUGAGUGGCCUGUUACAGUAGGAAAUUAGUAAAAAGGAAGGCAGUGGUUAAGAACAGAGGCUCUAAUAUCAGAUAGGCCUGGGUUUGAAUCCGGGCCGUACCACUUACUAAUUGCAUGACUGGGGCAAGUAACUUAAUUUCUCUAAGCCUCAGCUUCUUUAUCAGUAAGAUGGGAGAAAUAGCACUGCCUCCACUGGGAUCCAUGUGGGCAUGGAUAUCAGAAGCUGAGCACAAUGCAGUGUAAUUCGUCCAGUCCAAGCAGAUAGUAGCUAUUUAUUAUAAAAAGUUGAAUCAGAGAGUCAGAAUUUCUUAGCGUCCAUAAAGCACUCUCCACAGGGAUUGAUUCAUAUUCCUUUGGCAGGAGCAGCUUCACAGAUGGAUGCAUCAGACUAUAAAUGUGUGAUGCUGCUCACCAUGAAGAUCGUCCAACUAAUUACCCUCAGUCAGUUCCCCUGUCCGCUAAGCAGCCUUCUCACUGCACCUUCCGUAUAGCUUUCUAAGAAGGAUACAAUGUGCUCACCAGAUCCGGUUGACCUGAACAUCCAGGCUCGUCCAACCAUUAUAGCUCUCCUUAGAAUAAAUCAAGUGGCACUCCAGUUUAUACGUCGAUCUCUUAUGAGUUCAGCUGUACUCAAGAGACUGGUCCAACUCUGACCAAAUGGAAUCUCUAAUCCUUUCAAGCUGAGGGUCGGGUCACACCCUGGGUUGCCCCGAAUUAAUAGUCUUCCAGGGCUCUUGAAGCUGUGAAUUGCUGACCUGCCAUACAGGUAUAGCCAGCCUCGAGACUAGUUUCUUUGAACUACACAGGAUUUUUUAAGUCAUCUGGGCAAGAAUUUACAAAUCCAGAGAUUUCGCCGAAAACGCAAACACGCGUUUCCAGCUUCUCUCGAAAACCCAGCCACAGGGCUAGGGCUGAGGUGGCUGCCUCCUCCAGGGAGGGCCGGUCUCUGCAGCUCAGCACUCCAAUAAUGAAGACAGCUCUACACCCAGUCUGUUUUCACCAGCCCUGUCCCAGCAGACUUACUUUUGUGACUCCUGUUGUAAGUAAGAACACUUUAGACAUUUUCUUAAAGUUUUUACUUCUUGGAAAAGAGAGAAAAAGGAAGAAGAAAGCCUACCCCAUGAACACUCCUUUUGAUAAGUUUGGAAACACACCUGUAUUUUAGAAAACACUCAGAUGAAGAUAGUCCCCUGGGACAUUUCGUUGCACGAGCAGCUGGGACCACAGAGAGUUGCUGUAAGUGAAGCAACAGGCCGACCCUGCACUGCCAGAUGGAACGUGUGCAGCACAUUUCCAACCAGGCUGUUUCCGAGAGAUUCCCCAUCUAGCAAGAUUCACACCAGGCAGUCGGACCCAGACUCACUACGCUCAGAGCUAGCAGGUACUUGGAGUUCAGCGUAGGGUUGGUCUGGAAAUCCAUGCAGGAUCUCAGCACAGAAACUCAGGAAACACGCAAGAAACCCUCAAGAAGUUGGAGAACUCACUACCGCUGGAUUUUUGAUGAAUGAUAUCCGAUGCAAGCAUAGCCUCUGAUGGCUUCUUCCCACCCCAGAGCCGUCGUGGGCUUUUGUGAGAGCCAGAAAGCAGCCGAUGAUAACACUGUCAUCACUUCCUUCAGCUUUUCCAGUACUCCAAACCCAGGCAGAACUAAAAUUCUAGAGGGCAGCCACAUACGGAGGCGAUACACCACCCCUUCCACCCACCACCGCCACCGCCAUAUUGGUGGGAUAUAUUUUAGGAAUCAGGAGGAAGGAACAUGAGAAGUCAUUGUCUUCUUGAGAACUCUAAGCAACCUGAUGAGAAAGCUCUCUCUAACGACAGAGGUGGGGAUGCUGUGCAUGCCAUCACAGUCCUUGGGUAAUGACUGUGUGUCAUAAAUGGGAUAUGGCAUUUCUGAAUGUCUUUAAAGCUAUUUCCUUUUGUUCCACUAAUUUAAUUUACCAAAUGCUCCUGGGAAAAGGGAGGGGGACCAAGAUGCUGACUCCACAUUUCCUGAAAAAUCAACAUUUUCUUUUUAAGCUGCUCUCAAGGAAAUUACGUCUGAUUGUUGUCGGCUGGCUCCCUCAAACUCUACCUCUGUCAGAAUUCUGACCCGGCAGGUGUGAGGAAGAAAUAGAUGCAGAACUUGAGUGAAUACCCACAUCUGUUUUUGGAAAAAAGGAACAGAAGCAGCACAGAAGGAAGUAAAAGAGAUAAUUGCUGGCUUGAACUACAAUACAUUUUACUUGUGGGCAGAGGGCCAGCUUACAGCAGGCUGAAUAUGCAGGCCCAUCUUAUUGGAAUUCAGCGGUGGGCCUCCAUUCUUGUCCGGAGACAGCUGUAAACCAGCAGCCCAUAGCAUCACAAUCAGGCACCGAGUUUUGUCAAGGAAUGCUGAUAUGUACGGAAGCAGCUUUGUCUGCUUCAACUGCACCCCUGCCUAGUGAAAUGACAGUCAAUCUCUGAUUCCAGAUGACAAGAACUGGAUAAAAACUUAAAACAAAUGGCGACCUUUCAAAAGAUUAAUUUGUUUACCAACAAAAUGUCCCCUCUUUGUCAUCUGAGAUGGGGGUGACCUUCACUUUCCCGUAUCUAGGCUGAAAGGAUGCUGACUAUAGUCAUCUGUUAACUCCAUCUCAGCAAUUAUUCCCUUUUUUAUUUUUAGUGACAAGAAGGGUUUAUUAAUUCACUCUGCUUCUUGUUAUGGUUUAUAAAUGCAACAAGCUCAUUCUGAAUUACUGCAGUGUAACAUCAAUUUGUUUAAAUCUAAUUCUGCUACCAUUGCCAAAUUACGUUGUGACUGUAAUUGUGGCCAUAUGCAUGGGCUUAAAACACAAUCAUGUUUUGAAAUCGGCCUUCUUCCCCCCACCUCCCCGAGCACCCCUCCCCCCUACUUCUGGUGCUUCUAAUCAUUUGACAUUAACACAAUUGCCUCGCUUUCCAUUACUUUAUCAUUUCCGAAAUGAAUGUACUUUCACGAGAGAGAUUACUAUGUACACCCCAAGUAAAACAGUAAAGAAUGAAACUAUGAUUUGUGAAGUGUGGUUGCUACCCAACUAAGUUAGUGAACAACACUGCAUAACGGAUGACUCAUAAAAUCGGGAAAUCAUAAUAGUAUUAAAUUCAACCUCAUGAAUAAAUAAAAGAUUCUAAGUUUACUUUGCAUUAUAUAUUUAUUUAUUUGGAAAGUGGGACCAGAACUGGUAUAAUUCUACAGCAACUUAUAUGUUGCCACCAAGAAAAAUGUUUUUAUGCUUCUUUUCUAGGUCAUAACAGUUAUCAUCAGAGUUAUUUGUGCAGCAGUACAAAGCAAUGUUUUGUUUGGCUAUU